GACAAAUACGGGUCCAUAUUUUUCAUUUUCUCGGAUUCGGGUCGGGUCGCGGGCAAUCCGUCAAUUUAAUCUGUUCACCCAACCCGCCCGCGCCCUCACUUAUUUUCCCCCUUUUCCCCCUGUGUUGCCUCAUUUUUUUUUUCAUUUCACGUUUUGUAGCCCUAGGUUCUUCAACAUGUCUCUGUCUCUCUCAACUCUCUCUUUCUGUCUCUCUCUACUACCCUACCCAUCGUCGGACGAUCUACAUAUACGGCGUCGGCGAUCAUCUACACGGCGUUGGUGAUCGAUCUACACGGCGUCGUCGGCGAUCGAUCUAGAUUCUACAUUACUAACUGAGGUUGCAGACAAAAUUCAUCGUGAUGAACGUGCGAGUGUUGUAGAACGGACAAAUUUGAGAUAUCUUCCUGUACUUCCACGGAAAGUUGACUUGGUGACAUUGGACCUUUAAUUCAUUUCUAUACUUUUGGUCAUGCCUGCUGUGGUCAAUGUAAUGAAGGAAAGAAGCUACAUUGGUUGCUCUGAUUAAACCCCAAUUUGAGGCUCCCAGAUCUCAAAUUUCAGAUCCUCAACAAAUAUGAGUGGGCUAAGGGCUACAAGUAGUUAUAAGGUUAGAGUUGAAAUUUGAUAAAUUUCUUACAAAUUUAUAUUUAAAUGUGUUUUUGAAUGGUUUUUUAUUUAAAAAAUAUUAAAGUGGGUUUAUGAAGGGAUUUGUUUCUAAAGCCAAUCUUCAUGUAAUGCCUAAGAAAAUGCUAGAAACUCAAAACAAGGGAAUGAUGAACUAGCAGGGAUAUUGAAGAAAGAAAUGCUAGAAACUCAAAUGCCUAAGAAACAAGAUUAGUUGAUUUUAUCCCUCAGCAUUGUGAGGUACCUUUGUUUUGGGGUCAGAUUGCUGCAAUCUUAAAUGUAUGAUUUUGUUUUAUGUAACAUGAAUUGCUGUACAUUAUGAAAGUUUUGUUUUCUUCGUUUUGUACAUAGUAGAAAUUUGAGCCCUUGCCUAAUCAUUCCUAUUGCAGAGAAUGUAAUAUCAUUUUAUUGCAGUUAGUGACAUUAUUUGAUAAGAGGAAAAUUUCCAGUUUAAAUUGGCAGGCCUAUGACACUGAACCAAAUGAAAUUUCUUUGAUGAGGAAAAUUACUACAUUUCCACAUCAAGUUCAUUGAGACCACUGGUGAUCAAAAGAACUAGUGGAUGGUCAAAAUAGGGGUUUGGUUUGUUUUUGUUGGGCUUGUAUAAUCUAGUACUAGUACAUAUUUUGUUUUGAUAUUUUAUAUAUUUGCUUAUCAUUACUUUUUUUAUUAUUUUUAUUUGACAUUAGGCUGUGUACUUUUCUCAUUAUCUUUGUAUCUCAUAUCGUUGGAAUUGAUUGUAUGACAUGAAUAGGAAUCCGAUGGGAAUAAAGUUGUGAAAGAUAUCAUUUUUGGCCCAGGAGAAAAGAAAUAUUGGUUCUGUAAGGUCAGAAAUUUCUUGGAGAGAUGCAAAAUAUGGUCAAAGAAUUCAAGAACUUACUUUU